rnacentral:rRNA from 1 species
CAGUCGCCGCGGUAAGACAGAGGAUGCAAGCGUUAUCCGGAAUGAUUGGGCGUAAAGCGUGCGUAGGUGGUGGUUUAAGUCCGUUGUGAAAGCCCUGGGCUCAACCUGGGAAUUGCAGUGGAUACUGGGUCACUAGAGUGUGGUAGAGGAUAGUGGAAUUUCCGGUGUAGCAGUGAAAUGCGUAGAGAUCGGAAGGAACAUCUGUGGCGAAGGCGACUAUCUGGGCCAACACUGACACUGAGGCACGAAAGCGUGGGGAGCAAACAGGAUUAGAUACCCCCGUAGUCCCUGUCUCUUAUAC